rnacentral:rRNA from 1 species
UAGCGCGAAUGAUGUGAGAAUCAUCAUGGCCGGAAACCUCAGGUUUUUGGAGGAAGGUUCGUCCGCUCCAAGUUAGGCGGGAGCUAAGGUGAGGCCGAAAGGCGUAGCCGAUGCACAGACGGUAGAGAUUCCGUCACCACCAAAAGAGUUAAGCACAGGGACACAUAUGAAGUCUCAGAGCCGGGUGUUGGUUCCGGUAGAGAUCGAGGGAAGUUAGUACCGAAGUCUGAGAUGGAAGAUGGCGAGAAAAGCUGUGUGUAUUUCUGAGGUGCCCGUACCGCAAACCGACACAGGUAGGUAGGAAGAAGAUUCUAAGGCCAACGGGAGAAGGGUUGUUAAGGAACUCGGCAAAUUGACCCCGUAACUUCGGGAGAAGGGGUGCUCCAGAGAUGGAGCCGCAGAGAAUCGGCCCAAGCAACUGUUUACCAAAAACACAGGUUUGUGCUAAAUCGAAAGAUGACGUAUACGAGCUGACGCCUGCCCGGUGCUGGAAGGUUAAGAGGAGAUGUGCAAGCAUUGAAUCGAAGCCCCAGUGAACGGCGGCCGUAACUAUAACGGUCCUAAGGUAGCGAAAUUCCUUGUCAGGUAAGUUCUGACCCGCAUGAAAGGCGUAAUGAUUUGGGCACUGUCUCAACAGCCCGCCCGGCGAAAUUGUAGUACCGGUGAAGAUGCCGGUUACCCGCGACAAGACGGAAAGACCCCAUGGAGCUUUACUGUAGCCUAAUAUUGGGUUUCGAUGUUGCAUGCACAGGAUAGAUGGGACUCUGGGAAACCAAGGCUUUGGCUUUGGCGGAGAGGCCGUUGGGAUACCAUCCUUGCGAUAUUGGAAUUCUAACCUGCGGCUCUGAAUCGAGUCGGGGGACAUUGUUAGGUGGGCAGUUUGACUGGGGCGGUCGCCUCCUAAAGAGUAACGGAGGCGUUCAAAGGUUCGCUCAGCUUGAACGGAAAUCAAGCAAAAGAGUGCAAACGCAGAAGCGAGCCUAACUGCGAGACUGACGGGUCGAGCAGUAACGAAAGUUGGAGUUAGUGAUCCGGUGGUAUGUGAGUGGAAAUGCCAUCGCUCAACGGAUAAAAGUUACCCUGGGGAUAACAGGCUGAUCUCCCCCAAGAGUCCACAUCGACGGGGAGGUUUGGCACCUCGAUGUCGGCUCAUCGCAUCCUGGGGCUGUAUUCGGUCCCAAGGGUUUGGCUGUUCGCCAAUUAAAGCGGUACGCGAGCUGGGUUCAGAACGUCGUGAGACAGUUCGGUCCCUAU